rnacentral:rRNA from 1 species
AUGCAAGUCGAACGGUAACAUUUCUAGCUUGCUAGAAGAUGACGAGUGGCGGACGGGUGAGUAAUGCUUGGGAACUUGCCUUUGCGAGGGGGAUAACAGUUGGAAACGACUGCUAAUACCGCAUAAUGUCUUCGGACCAAACGGGGCUUUUAGCUCCGGCGCAAAGAGAGGCCCAAGUGAGAUUAGCUAGUUGGUAAGGUAACGGCUUACCAAGGCGACGAUCUCUAGCUGUUCUGAGAGGAAGAUCAGCCACACUGGGACUGAGACACGGCCCAGACUCCUACGGGAGGCAGCAGUGGGGAAUAUUGCACAAUGGGGGAAACCCUGAUGCAGCCAUGCCGCGUGUGUGAAGAAGGCCUUCGGGUUGUAAAGCACUUUCAGUUGUGAGGAAAAGUUAGUAGUUAAUACCUGCUAGCCGUGACGUUNACAACAGAAGAAGCACCGGCUAACUCCGUGCCAGCAGCCGCGGUAAUACGGAGGGUGCGAGCGUUAAUCGGAAUUACUGGGCGUANAGCGCACGCAGGCGGUUUGUUAAGCUAGAUG